rnacentral:rRNA from 1 species
AUGGAGGGAAAAGCUAUUCUUCUUUGCCUUAUGGUGCUUGUGCAGCUAGGAAAUUCCGUUCAUGUUGACAAAUGUAGGGCGGUAAUUGCCUUUUCAGGCACCACAUGCAUAGAACUAUCUUGCAUGUUGGCCUGCCAGAAGUCGUUCGGAGAUCACGCCAUAAACUCGGCAUGUAGGCUCGUUAGCCUAGCCACUUGA